rnacentral:rRNA from 1 species
GACGAACGCUGGCGGCGUGCUUAACACAUGCAAGUCGAACGGAAAGGCCCUGCUUGCAGGGUGCGCUAGUGGGGAACGGGGGAGUAACACGUGGGUGAACCGCGCUGCACUUCGGGGGAAGCCUUGGGAACUGGGGGGAUUAUCGGGGAGGAGCCAUUUUGCUGGUUGGGGGUGGAAGGUUUUUUCGGUGUAGGGGGGGCUCGCUGCCUGUUAGCUUGUUUGUGGGGUGAGGGGCUACCAAGGCGGCGGUGGGUAGGCGGCCUGAGAGGGUGGACGGCCCGAUUUGGGAUGAGAUACGGCCCAGACUCCCAAGGGGGGCAAGAGGGGGGAAUAUUGCAACAUGGGGGGAAGCCCGAUGCAGCGAAGCCGGGGGGGGGAUGACGGGCUUCGGGUUGUAAACCCCUUUCGCUAGGGAAGAAGCUUUUUGUGACGGUAAUUAGAAAAGAAGCACCGGCUAACUACGUG